GACGAACGCUGGCGGCGUGCUUAACACAUGCAAGUCGAACGGAAAGGCCCUGCUUUUGUGGGGUGCUCGAGUGGCGAACGGGUGAGUAACACGUGAGUAACCUGCCCUUGACUUUGGGAUAACUUCAGGAAACUGGGGCUAAUACCGGAUAGGAGCUCCUGCUGCAUGGUGGGGGUUGGAAAGUUUCGGCGGUUGGGGAUGGACUCGCGGCUUAUCAGCUUGUUGGUGGGGUAGUGGCUUACCAAGGCUUUGACGGGUAGCCGGCCUGAGAGGGUGACCGGCACCAUUGGGACUGAGAUACGGCCCAGCCUCCUACGGGAGGCAGCAGUGGGGAAUAUUGCAAAAUGGGCGGAAGCCUGAUGCAGCAACGCCGCGUGCGGGAUGACGGCCUUCGGGUUGUAAACCGCUUUCGCCUGUGACGAAGCGUGAGUGACGGUAAUGGGUAAAGAAGCACCGGCUAACUACGUG
rnacentral:rRNA from 1 species